CAUGCAGUGGUGGGGUCCCUCGGCCUGGCCUGCGCCCUCUCGAAAUCUGAACCCCUCAGGGGAUGUCAGAGAGCCGGUUUCAGCCCGAUCCCGCAGGCCAGGCCGAGGGACCCCACUGGGGCACG
rnacentral:pre_miRNA from 1 species